GACGAACGCUGGCGGCGUGCUUAACACAUGCAAGUCGAACGCUGAAGCCCUUUCGGGGGUGGAUGAGUGGCGAACGGGUGAGUAACACGUGGGUAAUCUGCCCUGCACUCUGGGAUAAGCCUUGGAAACGGGGUCUAAUACCGCAUAGGACACAUCGCCGCAUGGUGUGUGUGUGGACAGUUCCGUCGGUGCAGGUUGAGCCCGCGGCCUAUCAGCUUGUUGGUGGGGUGAUGGCCUACCAAGGCGACGACGGGUAGCGGGACUGAGAGGGUGGCCGGCCACACUGGGACUGAGACACGGCCCAGACUCCUACGGGAGGCAGCAGUGGGGAAUCUUGCGCAAUGGGCGAAAGCCUGACGCAGCAACGCCGCGUGGGGGAUGACGGCCUUCGGGUUGUAAACCUCUUUCGACCGGGACGAAGGGUGACUGACGGUACCGGUAGAAGAAGCACCGGCUAACUACGUGCCAGCCGCCGCAGUAA
rnacentral:rRNA from 1 species